rnacentral:lncRNA from 1 species
UUUGAGUAUGUAAUAAAAGAAAUAAAGAAUUGAUGUAUGUAAUAGACUGACUUACCAAUCUAGGUAUAAACUGAAUUUUAGUAAAUGUUGAGGUAAGAAAAAACCGUUUUUUACUUAAUGUAAUCAUGUUACUUUCAACAUUUUGUAAGGAAAUCUAAGGAUGAUGCCCAGAAAAAGAAAAUCUAAUGAUUAUGAAAAAGCAUCGGAGGUUUGCAGUCAUGAUCCAAGUUUCUGUAAAUAUUAAUUAAUAGAAAAUAAAAUACUUUAUACUCCUUCUGUUUUUAAUAUAAAUCGUUUUAGAGAAAUUUUUAUGUUUUAAAUUAUACGACGUUUUCGGUUUUCGAUGUAAAAUUUAUUAACACUUAAU